rnacentral:rRNA from 6 species
CGAAUGACUCUCGGCAAUGGAUAUCUCGGCUCUUGCAUCGAUGAAGAACGUAGUGAAAUGCGAUACUUGGUGUGAAUUGCAGAAUCUCGUGAACCAUUGAGUCUUUGAACGCAAGUUGUGCCCAACGCUUUGUGGCCGAGGGCACGUCUGCUUGGGCGUCAUGG